GGCCAUAUCAUGUUGAAACAUUGGUUCCCAUACAGUCAAAGUUAAACAACAUCAAGCCUGGCCAGUACCUAGAUGGGUGACCACUUGGGAAUACCAGGUGCUGUAAG